GCUGCCACACGGGGCAGUGCAGAUACCAAACAUUUCCAUCAUCGCAGAAAGUUCUGCUGGACAGUGCUGCCCUGA